GGCGUCAUAGCUCAGCUGGGAGAGCAGCAGACUGAAGUGCAGCGUAUCAAGUGUUGCAGCAAUCUGAAGGUCCCGCGUUCGAUCCGCGGUGCUGCCA